ACCCUUGCACUCUUUUUCUAUGGAAAGUCUGAAGGAGGAUCUGGGACCUUGAGCUGCUGCUCCAUCUCUGCAGGGCAUGAAAACAGAAAGCUCUGUAGUGGUCCUCCAGAAGGGAUCCUCUUGGUCUUGCCAGUGCUCUCCAGCAGCCUUCCAAGGAGCGAGGGUGCCCUGGCUGACGUCGAGAAAGCAGAGCACAAAGUGACAGUAGGUGGACAGGGAGGAGAAUUGGGCGCAGGCUGAGGCCAUGGUUCUUCUGAUAAACCAGCUGUCCCUGCUGCCCGCUCCACCCGCAGCUGCAGCAGGAUUUGUUGCAGGAGAAGAUGCCGCGGAUAUGGCCUUGCGGCUCCAGAGGCCCAUGGCCGUGCCCAAAAGUCCAAAAGCAGGCAGUUGCCACGC